UGAAUAUCCAUCAAGAUAUCUUAUGAGAGUUUUUCAAUCUAUUUUCAGUUUCUAAUUGUCAAUAAAGCUAACAACUUUCACUGAUUCUGCAGGAGCCUUAAUAUUUGACCCUUAAGUACUAUAAUAUUUAUCAUAAUGUCAAUUGUUAAUCUAGUGUCCUGCACUGGUUUGUGCACCAAAAAACAAAUGCAUGGUCAUUGAUGAGCAUUAGGCAAUUAUGAAGAUGUUGCAUUCAACUUCUAGUCACC
rnacentral:misc_RNA from 1 species